AGAGUUUGAUCAUGGCUCAGGAUGAACGCUAGCUACAGGCUUAACACAUGCAAGUCGAGGGGCAGCAUGGCGGUGGCUUGCCACCGCUGAUGGCGACCGGCGCACGGGUGCGUAACGCGUAUCCAAUCUACCCAUGGCUCGGGGAUAGCCUUCUGAAAGGAAGAUUAAUACCCGAUGGUCUUUGCUGGGGGCAUCCCCGGUGAAGUAAAGUUGUUUUACGGCGAUGGAUGAGGAUGCGACCGAUUAGGUAGUUGGUGGGGUAACGGCCCACCAAGCCGUCGAUCGGUAGGGGUUCUGAGAGGAAGGUCCCCCACACUGGAACUGAGACACGGUCCAGACUCCUACGGGAGGCAGCAGUGAGGAAUAUUGGUCAAUGGGCGGAAGCCUGAACCAGCCAAGUAAGCGUGCGGGAAGACGGCCCUAUGGGUUGUAAACCGCUUUUGUUCGGGAAUAAUUUGGGGGACGUGUCCCCUAUUGCAUGUACCGUUCGAAUAAGCAUCGGCUAAUUCCGUGCCAGCAGCUGC
rnacentral:rRNA from 1 species